rnacentral:rRNA from 1 species
CUUGGUCAUUUAGAGGAAGUAAAAGUCGUAACAAGGUUUCCUUCCCCAGGGGCAUUGCCCUGCUGAAGCCUUUCGCGGCGACUUUAAAUAUACGCGCAGUUCGGAUGGCUUCCAUCCGGGCAACGCCAUCACUGUGCUGGAAGUAUGCCUCGCGGCGAUAACCAGCGGCCGACCCCCCCGGGGCGUCGGUUCACAGAUCAAACGAUGGUGGCCGCCGAAGGCGGUUUAGAUAUGACCGAGCCCAGCCGUUCGCAUGGCUGUGAUAGCUGUUCCGUAGGUGAACCUGCGGAAGGAUCAUUACCGAGAUUUCGUUUAGGGCUCUGCCCACGCGUCUCCCACCCAUUGUGAACCUUACCAUUGUUGCUUUGGCGGACCAGCAGGUCUAACCCGCCGCCGGCUUUUAGCGGGCGAGUGCCCGCCAGAGUCCAAUCCAAACUCGUUUAAUUAGUGAUGUCUGAGAAAAAAUAAAUAGCAAAAAACUUUCAACAACGGAUCUCUUGGUUCUGGCAUCGACGAAGAACGCAGCGAAAUGCGAUAAGUAAUGUGAAUUGCAGAAUUCAGUGAAUCAUCGAAUCUUUGAACGCACAUUGCGCCCUCUGGUAUUCCGGGGGGCAUGCCUGUUCGAGCGUCAUUACAACCCUCAAGCCCAGCUUGGUAUUGGGUGCCGCCCUUUGGGGCGCGCCUGGAAAAUAGCGGCGGUGCGACCGGUGAUCAAGCGUAGUAACUACUCCCGCUUUGAGACACCCGGGCGUGCCCGCCGGACAACACCUAAUUUUUUCAAUGGUUGACCUCGGAUCAGGUAGGGAUACCCGCUGAACUUAAGCAUAUCAAUAAGCGGAGGA